GAUGAACGCUGGCGGCGUGCCUAAUACAUGCAAGUCGAGCGAACGGACGAGAAGCUUGCUUCUCUGCUGUUAGCGGCGGACGGGUGAGUAACACGUGGAUACCCUACCUAUAAGACUGGGAUCACUUCGGGAACCCGGAGCUAACACCGGAUAAUAUUUUGAACCGCAUGGUUCAAAAGUGAAAGACGGUCUUGCUGUCACUUAUAGAUGGAUCCGCGCUGCAUUAGCUAGUUGGUAAGGUAACGGCUUACCAAGGCAACGAUGCAUAGCCGACCUGAGAGGGUGAUCGGCCACACUGGAACUGAGACACGGUCCAGACUCCUACGGGAGGCAGCAGUAGGGAAUCUUCCGCAAUGGGCGAAAGCCUGACGGAGCAACGCCGCGUGAGUGAUGAAGGUCUUCGGAUCGUAAAACUCUGUUAUUAGGGAAGAACAUAUGUGUAAGUAACUGUGCACAUCUUGACGGUACCUAAUCAGAAAGCCACGGCUAACUACGUG
rnacentral:rRNA from 1 species